GUUCAGGAAGUCUCUCCACAGAUAAACUGUCUCCUGCUCAGUGGUCAGCUCUGGGUUUCAUCUUAGUGUCAUCAGGAAAAGAUCUGGAUGUGUUUGACCUGAAGAAAUACUCUGCUUCAGAGGAGGUUCUUCUGAGGCUGCUGCCAGUGGUUAAAGCCUCCAACAAAGCUCUACUGAGUGUCUGUAACCUCUCAGAGAGAAGCUGUGAAGCUCUGUCCUCAGUUCUCAGCUCCCAGUCCUCCAGUCUCAGAGAACUGGACCUGAGUAACAACAACCUGCAGGAUUCAGGAGUGAAGCUUCUCUCUGCUGGACUGAAGAGUCCAAACUGCAACCUGGAAACUCUCAGCUUAUCAGGCUGUUUGGUCUCAGAGGAAGGCUGUGCUUCUCUGGCCUCAGCUCUGACCUCCAACCCCUCCCAUCUGAAAGAGUUGGACCUGAGCUACAAUCAUCCAGGAGACUCAGGAGUGAAGCUGCUGUCGGCUGGACUGAAGGAUCCACACUGGAGACUGGAAGCUCUCAGGUAUGGAGGAACCUGCUGCAGGAGCAGAGAAGGU